rnacentral:rRNA from 1 species
AACGAACGCUGGCGGCAUGCCUAACACAUGCAAGUCGAACGAGACCUUCGGGUCUAGUGGCGCACGGGUGCGUAACGCGUGGGAACCUGCCCUUAGGUUCGGAAUAACUCUCCGAAAGGGGUGCUAAUACCGGAUCAUGUCUUCGGACCAAAGAUUUAUCGCCUUUGGAUGGGCCCGCGUUGGAUUAGCUAGUUGGUAGGGUAAAAGCCUACCAAGGCGACGAUCCAUAGCUGGUCUGAGAGGAUGAUCAGCCACACUGGGACUGAGACACGGCCCAGACUCCUACGGGAGGCAGCAGUGGGUAAUAUUGGACAAUGGGCGAAAGCCUGAUCCAGCAAUGCCGCGUGAGUGAUGAAGGCCUUAGGGUUGUAAAGCUCUUUUACCCGGGAUGAUAAUGACAGUACCGAGAGAAUAAGCUCCGGCUAACUCCGUG